rnacentral:rRNA from 1 species
UACGAGUGCCCCAAGCGUUAUCCGGAAUUACUGGGCGUAAAGGGUGUGUAGGCGGCGCGGUUAGUCCUCUGUUAAAGCUCCCGGCUUAACCGGGAAAGUGCAGGGGAAACGGCCACGCUAGAGGGGGUGAAAGGUCUAUGGAACUCAUGGUGUAGGGGUGAAAUCCGUUGAUAUCAUGGGGAACACCAAAGGCGAAGGCAAUAGACUGGCACCUUACUGACGCUGAAACACGAAAGCGUGGGGAUCAAACGGG